rnacentral:rRNA from 1 species
GCACAAGCGGUGGAGCAUGUGGUUUAAUUCGACGCAACGCGCAGAACCUUGCCAGCCCUUGACAUCCCGGUCGCGGACUCCAGAGAUGGAGUUCUUCAGUUCGGCUGGACCGGAGACAGGUGCUGCAUGGCUGUCGUCAGCUCGUGUCGUGAGAUGUUGGGUUAAGUCCCGCAACGAGCGCAACCCCCGUCCUUAGUUGCUACCAUUUAGUUGAGCACUCUAAGGAGACUGCCGGUGAUAAGCCGCGAGGAAGGUGGGAAUGACGUCAAGUCCUCAUGGCCCUUACGGGCUGGGCUACACACGUGCUACAAUGGCGGUGACAAUGGGAUGCUAAGGGGCGACCCUUCGCAAAUCUCAAAAAGCCGUCUCAGUUCGGAUUGGGCUCUGCAACUCGAGCCCAUGAAGUUGGAAUCGCUAGUAAUCGUGGAUCAGCACGCCACGGUGAAUACGUUCCCGGGC